ACGCUGACAGAAUGCUUAACACAUGCAAGUCAACUUGAAUUUGGGUUUUUAACUUAGAUUUGGGUGGCGGACGGGUGAGUAACGCGUAAAGAACUUGCCUCACAGCUAGGGACAACAUUUAGAAAUGAAUGCUAAUACCUGAUAUUAUGAUUUUAAGGCAUCUUAGAAUUAUGAAAGCUAUAAGCACUGUGAGAGAGCUUUGCGUCCCAUUAGCUAGUUGGAGAGGUAACAGCUCACCAAGGCGAUGAUGGGUAGCCGGCCUGAGAGGGUGAACGGCCACAAGGGGACUGAGACACGGCCCUUACUCCUACGGGAGGCAGCAGUGGGGAAUAUUGGACAAUGGACCGAGAGUCUGAUCCAGCAAUUCUGUGUGCACGAUGAAGUUUUUCGGAAUGUAAAGUGCUUUCAGUUGGGAAGAAAAAAAUGACGGUACCAACAGAAGAAGUGACGGCUAAAUACGUGCCAGCAGCCGCGGUAAUACGUAUGUCACGAGCGUUAUCCGGAUUUAUUGGGCGUAAAGCGCGUCUAGGUGGUUAUGUAAGUCUGAUGUGAAAAUGCAGGGCUCAACUCUGUAUUGCGUUGGAAACUGUAUAACUAGAGUACUGGAGAGGUAAGCGGAACUACAAGUGUAGAGGUGAAAUUCGUAGAUAUUUGUAGGAAUGCCGAUGGGGAAGCCAGCUUACUGGACAGAUA
rnacentral:rRNA from 1 species